GCAGACACAUUCCAACCAAUCAGCAGCAGACCCUCCCUCCCAGACCCUCCCAUCUCCUGGACAGCUCACUAAUAAUGCAGCUUCACAAUGAAUGUAAAAUGGAUGCUGUCCAGGAGGUGGGAGGGUCUGGGAGGGAGGGUCUGCUGCUGAUUGGCUGGAAUGUGUCUG
rnacentral:miRNA from 1 species